GUGCUUGUUUCAGCAGCACAUAUAUUGAAAUUGAAGUGAUACAGAGUUGGCUCCUGUGCAAGGAAGACAUGCAGAUUAGUGAAGUGUUUGGACUGUUG
ensembl:snRNA U6 U6 spliceosomal RNA